UACGUAGGUGGCAAGCGUUGUCCGGAAUUAUUGGGCGUAAAGCGCGCGCAGGCGGUCCUUUAAGUCUGAUGUGAAAGCCCACGGCUCAACCGUGGAGGGUCAUUGGAAACUGGGGGACUUGAGUGCAGAAGAGGAAAGCGGAAUUCCACGUGUAGCGGUGAAAUGCGUAGAGAUGUGGAGGAACACCAGUGGCGAAAGGCGGCUUUCUGGUCUGUAACUGACGCUGAGGCGCGAAAGCGUGGGGAGCAAACAGG
rnacentral:rRNA from 1 species